rnacentral:rRNA from 1 species
GACGAACGCUGGCGGCGUGCUUAACACAUGCAAGUCGAACGGAAAGGCCCUGCUUUUGUGGGGUGCUCGAGUGGCGAACGGGUGAGUAACACGUGAGUAACCUGCCCUUGACUUUGGGAUAACUUCAGGAAACUGGGGCUAAUACCGGAUAGGAGCUCCUGCUGCAUGGUGGGGGUUGGAAAGUUUCGGCGGUUGGGGAUGGACUCGCGGCUUAUCAGCUUGUUGGUGGGGUAGUGGCUUACCAAGGCUUUGACGGGUAGCCGGCCUGAGAGGGUGACCGGCAACAUGGGGACUGAGAUACGGCCCAGACUCCUACGGGAGGCAGCAGGGGGGAAUAUUGCACAAUGGGCGGAAGCCUGAGGCAGCAACGCCGCGUGCGGGAUGACGGCCUUCGGGUUGUAAACCGCUUUCGCCUGUGACGAAGCGUGAGUGACGGUAAUGGGUAAAGAAGCACCGGCUAACUACGUG